GACGAACGCUGGCGGCGUGCUUAACACAUGCAAGUCGAACGGAAAGGCCCUGCUUUUGUGGGGUGCUCGAGUGGCGAACGGGUGAGUAACACGUGAGUAACCUGCCCUUGACUUUGGGGUAACUUCAGGAAACGGGGGCUAAUACCGGAUAGGAGAUCCUGCUGCAUGGUGGGGGUUGGAAAGUUUCGGCGGUUGGGGAUGGACUCGCGGCUUAUCAGCUUGUUGGUGGGGUAGUGGCUGACCAAGUCUUUGACGGGUAGCCGGCCUGAGAGGGUGACCGGGCACAUUGGGACUGAGAGACGGCCCAGACUCCUACGUGAGGCAGCAGUGGGGAAUAUUGCACAAUGGGCGGAAGUCUGAUGCAGCAACGCCGCGUGCGGGAUGACGGCCUUCGGGUUGUAAACCGCUUUCGCCUGUGACGAAGCGUGAGUGACGGUAAUGGGUAAAGAAGCACCGGCUAACUACGUG
rnacentral:rRNA from 1 species